AGUAACACGUGAGCAACCUGCCUUUCAGAGGGGGAUAACAGUUGGAAACGACUGCUAAUACCGCAUAACGCUGCGAUGGGGCAUCCCGAUGCAGCCAAAGGAGCAAUCCGCUGGAAGAUGGGCUCGCGGCCGAUUAGCUAGUUGGUGGGGUAACGGCCCACCAAGGCGACGAUCGGUAGCCGGACUGAGAGGUUGAUCGGCCACAUUGGGACUGAGACACGGCCCAGACUCCUACGGAAGGCAGCAG
rnacentral:rRNA from 1 species